rnacentral:rRNA from 1 species
AGAGUUUGAUCCUGGCUCAGGACGAACGCUGGCGGCGUGCUUCACACAUGCAAGUCGAACGGGGCUCAUCCGGUGGUAACACUGGAGAAGGCCUAGUGGCGAACGGGUGAGUAACACGUGAGGAACCUGCCCCGAAGACCGGGAUAACAGCGGGAAACCACUGCUAAUACCGGAUGCCCCCACCAGGCCGCAUGGCCAGGUGAGGAAAUGGGCUUCCGCUUCGGGAGGGCCUCGCGGCCUUUCAGCUUGUUGGUGGGGUGACGGCCUACCAAGGCUACGACGGGUAGCUGGUCUGAGAGGACGACCAGCCACACUGGGACUGAGACACGGCCCAGACUCCUACGGGAGGCAGCAGUGGGGAAUCUUGCGCAAUGGGCGAAAGCCUGACGCAGCAACGCCGCGUGAGGGAUGAAGGCCUUCGGGUUGUAAACCUCUUUCGAGCAGGGACGAUAGUGACGGUACCUGCAGAAGAAGCUCCGGCCAACUACGUGCCAGCAGCCGCGGUGAUACGUAGGGAGCGAGCGUUGUCCGGAUUCAUUGGGCGUAAAGAGCUCGUAGGCGGCUCAGUAAGUCAGGUGUGAAAUCCCCAGGCUCAACCUGGGAUCGCCAUCUGAUACUGCUGUGGCUAGAGCCCGGUAGGGGCGCACGGAAUUCCUGGUGUAGCGGUGAAAUGCGCAGAUAUCAGGAGGAACACCGGUGGCGAAGGCGGUGCGCUGGGCCGGAGCUGACGCUGAGGAGCGAAAGCGUGGGGAGCGAACAGGAUUAGAUACCCUGGUAGUCCACGCCGUAAACGUUGGGCACUAGGUGUGGGACCUUGUCAACGGGUUCCGUGCCGUAGCUAACGCAUUAAGUGCCCCGCCUGGGGAGUACGGCCGCAAGGCUAAAACUCAAGGAAUUGACGGGGGCCCGCACAGCGGCGGAGCAUGUGGCUUAUUCGAGGCGACGCGAGAACCUUACCUGGGUUGAACUACGCAGGAAAGCCGUAGAGAUACGGUG